CUACUCACCCUUUAAACUUUGCCAACCAGCGACUCCAGAAUCCAGAGCUAUGCAUCUUUGACUCCAUGAAGCAGAAUAUAGCUAUCAAAAUGAACUUUGGGCAAAGAUUUCAUUGAGAGCUAACCAGUCCGCGAAACGCCUUCAUUUGUGUCUGUACUCAAACCGACUAAACCAUUCCUCAGUCUUGGAUGGUGAGGAAAAUGCUGGAAUGGAAGGGUUGAGGCACAACAAAUCUGUUUCCCCCAUAGAUCUCGAUGUGCCACCUUAACUGCCAUUAACAUGACAUGAACUUUGCUCUAUCCAUCCUUAAUUCUGACUUCUGAGCUACCCUUUUUCAAUGAGACCCAACUUUCAAACAUUUUCAAACUCGUCUUUGCUAUUUAUUCAUCACAUAAAUCAUG